UAAAGCUGAAACGGAUUCUGCGUUAUCUACAACAUACGCAAGAUAUGGUUAUUUUGUAUCAAAAGGACUAUAAAAAGGGCAUCAUAGAGUGUUAUAGUGAUGCUGACCAUGGAGGAGACGUUGGUACUGGAAGGUCAACUUCUGGAGUACUGUGCAUUUUUGCUGGUGGUGCUGUAUCUUGGAUGAGUCAAAGACAAGCAAGUGUUGCAAUUUCAACCACUGAAGCAGAAAUAGUUGCGGCCAGUGAAGCAGCUCGAGAAUGCAUUUGGCUAACUAGGAUACUAAGCGAACUUACUGAAAUACAGUAUCCUCCUGUAUUACAAGUGGACAAUGAAGCCGCGGUGAGACUAGCGGAAAAUCCUGAGUUUCACAAGAGAACAAAACAUAUUCUCAUCAGGCACUUCUUUGUUCGAGAACUUGUGACAAAAGGUGAUCUCAUGGUUCAGAAAAUUAGCAGUGAGUGGCAGCUUGCGGAUAUUUUUACUAAAGCUUUAUCAAAGCCAAGGUUAGAGAAGAUUAGUAAGCUGCUAGGAUUACACAUCGAGAGAAGAUGUUAAGAACCUCCUUGGUUCAAUGGCAGGCGAUAUGCAUUCUAGCAGCGCUUGUCAAUGUAAAAUAAAAAAAAGAAAAUAAUAUUUUUUUAUGACAGUCUUAUAUACUAUGAACAUUGACUGAACUUGCUGACUAAUAUUAACUAGUGUAGGUAUCCAAAAUCCUAGUCCUGGUUUUCUUUAACACUGAUAACUGAUCCCGGCGUUGCUUAAUACUGGUCCUUGUUGAAUAUCUUCCGAGAGUCCCACAACCAUUAGUUAGCGUCUGAUGGAUGACUGUGAUGAUAAAGGCAAAAGCAUAGGCGGGCGGGGUGGCAUUUUUCAGCUAUUGCCUGUUUCAAAAAAUGUGAAGAAAGCGCACCUGAGUAACACCUGAGUGACAAUAAUUAGCAACAACGACGUCAGUUAAUUUACUUUCAAUAUUAAAUUGUUUAGAAAACGGAUUAUCUGCUCAAUGUGCGUUUUAUAGAAGUUAUAUUCACAAAUCGUCAUUGGACGAUGUAAACAAAGGCUAUGGAAUAAAAUAUGAAAGAAAAUAGGAGUAUUGAAAAUUGUGGCUUGUUCAUUGAUAACACAAAUCCGUAGUAUUUAGGUGCAACAUCUGUUGGUAUUUCAGACAUGAUUGUAGAAAGGAAGUGUCCGUAAUGAAAAUGAAAUGAAGUGAUUCAACGAAAUAAGGUUCAAUUUUAAGCGGGUAUAUAAUAAUCUAAAUAAAAUCUGAUUGACAUAUUCAAGUAAAAGAGCAAAUGCACAUUCAUAGCAAAUACAAUGAUGUAUAUAUAUAUAUAUAAUUAUAAUUUUGGAUAUGGUACAGAGACAAAAUAAAAAUAUAAUUUAUUGAAAAUGUAUCA